AGGAUGAACGCUGGCGGCGUGCCUAACACAUGCAAGUCGAACGAGGGGUAGCAAUACCCCUAGUGGCAGACGGGUGAGUAACACGUAGUCAACCUACCUCUUAAUGGGGGAUAACUAGCCGAAAGGUUAGCUAAAUACCGCAUACGAUCGUCGAGUGGCAUCACACGACGAUGAAAGGAGCAAUCCGUUGAGAGAGGGGACUGCGUCCCAUUAGUUAGUUGGUGGGGUAAUGGCCUACCAAGACUCCGAUGGGUAGCUGGCUUGAGAGAGCGACCAGCCACACUGGAACUGAGACACGGUCCAGACUCCUACGGGAGGCAGCAGUGAGGAAUUUUCCGCAAUGGGGGAAACCCUGACGGAGCGACGCCGCGUGUGGGAAGAAGGCCUUCGGGUCGUAAACCACUGUCGAGGGGGACGAGUAUUGACGGUACCCCUGGACGGAAGCCCCGGCUAACUACGCGCCAGCAGCCGC
rnacentral:rRNA from 1 species